CCACCCCCUCCAUUCUGAGCAGUAGUGGUACAUCCCUCUGUUCUGUCCUCCACUCCCAGGCUGCAUCCUCCAUCACUCACUCCGCUUCCCUCCUUCUUCUCUGUUUCUCCUUGAGGUCGAACUCUGGGCCUGUCUGCUGAUCUCCAGGCCUGCUCCUCCACCGGUCUGUCUGUAGUGUGUCAGUGCUGUGAGCUCGGCGUGUGGAGGGACACAGCAGCAGCAGCAGCAGCAGCAGCAGAAGCAGCAGCAGCAGUUCUGUCUCUCAGAUCUCACCAGUUGAAUCCGGAUAACUGAGAGGAUAGGAAGUUCUUCUCCAGCAGACAGAGCUUCAUAUCUAACAGAUCCACAUGGAUACUAAGGCCAAGAGCGGCUCUAAGUCAGCGUCCCGGGCAGAGAAGAAGGAUCCAGCCCCUCUGAAACCGGACCCCGUCCCUGCAGAACCCUCCCCACCCACUGAACCAGAGAAAACAGCAGAUGAUGGAGCAGCCAGCCAGGAGGGGGCGCCGGAGGGGGGCGAGGGAAAAGGAAGUGGGUGUGAAAUGCUGGAGCACCUGAAGCCCUUCCUCAUCGGGGGAGCCGUUGUUGCCCUCGGGGCCAUUUUGGUUGGCGCGAUCUUAUUGGCCAAGAAAAACUGAUGAUGUAGAGUUAUUGGUUGAUUGGUUAACGAGUGAUUGUGUCACACAUUAUCAGAGGGGCAUAGUUUAAGUUUAUGACUUCAGUUAUGUAUAAAGUAAUCCACUGAACUGAACUGACUGAAAUGUGUGCAUUAUUUCUUUAUGAAUAAAAUAUAUCACAUUAA